rnacentral:rRNA from 1 species
CCUACGGGCGGCAGCAGUGAGGAAUAUUGGUCAAUGGGCGCGAGCCUGAACCAGCCAAGUAGCGUGAGGGAUGACUGCCCUACGGGUUGUAAACUUCUUUUAUAAAGGAAUAAAGUGAGGCACGUGUGCCUUUUUGUAUGUACUGUAUGAAUAAGGAUCGGCUAACUCCGUGCCAGCAGCCGCGGUAAUACGGAGGAGCCGAGCGUUAUCCGGAUUUAUUGGGUUGAAAGGGAGCGUAGAUGGGUUGUUAAGUCAGGUGGGAAAGUGUGCGGCUCAACCGUAAAAGUGCAAUGGAUACUGGACGUCUUGAGUACAGAUGAGGUAGGCGGAAUUCGUGGUGUAGCGGUGAAAUGCUUAGAUAUCACGAAGAACUCCGAUUGCGAAGGCAGCUUACUAAACUGCCACUGACAUUGAUGCUCGAAAGUGUGGGUAUCAAACAGGAUUAGAUACCCGGGUAGUC